AUUGAACGCUGGCGGCAUGCCUUACACAUGCAAGUCGAACGGUAACGCGGGGCAACCUGGCGACGAGUGGCGAACGGGUGAGUAAUGCAUCGGAACGUGCCCAAUAGUGGGGGAUAGCCCGGCGAAAGCCGGAUUAAUACCGCAUACGACCUACGGGUGAAAGCGGGGGAUCGCAAGACCUCGCGCUAUUGGAGCGGCCGAUGUCCGAUUAGGUAGUUGGUGGGGUAAAGGCCUACCAAGCCUGCGAUCUGUAGCUGGUCUGAGACGACGACCAGCCGCCCUGGGACUGAGACACGGCCCAGACUCCUACGGGAGGCAGCAGUGGGGAAUUUUGGACAAUGGGCGCAAGCCUGACCCAGCCAUGCCGCGUGCGGGAAGAAGGCCUUCGGGUUGUAAACCGCUUUUGGCAGGAACGAAACGGCGACUCCUAAUACGGGUGGCUAAUGACGGUACCUGCAGAAUAAGCACCGGCUAACUACGUGCCAGCAGCAGCCGCAGUAA
rnacentral:rRNA from 1 species